rnacentral:lncRNA from 1 species
AGCCCAGAGCUGGCCAGAGUAGCUCUUCCGGAGAAGGACCGAAGGGCCGGGAAAAGGGAAGAAUCUCCAUCUCCGUUGCUUCUGCAGAGCAAAGACGACACGACCUGGAUGAAUGGAGUAUCCGGAGAAGGUUUUUGAAGACGUUUAGGAGGAAGGGUGAGUUUUCUGUUGAGAAACUCAAUCUGCCAUACAGUAGCGGGCCCCAUCUGGGAUCUGUCACUGCUGACAGCACCACAGGGCACAGCCGUGAUCUUCUGCACAGCCUGCACUCCUCGAAAUACCCUCCUUAAUCAAAGGAUGUCUGCGCGCCGGCGCUCAGCUGACCGCGCCAAAGCAGAGAGGCCUAAGAGUUCCACCCCUCCCGCCCCCUCCCCAGGCUCACAACCUCCCCCAACCCUGUCUUUCCAGAGCAUUAAUUAAAAGCGGAAAAAAGA